UUUAAAGAGAGUUUGAUCCUGGCUCAGGACGAACGCUGGCGGCGUGCCUAAUACAUGCAAGUCGAACGAACGGAGGAAGAGCUUGCUCUUCCAAAGUUAGUGGCGGACGGGUGAGUAACACGUGGGCAACCUGCCUGUAAGUUGGGGAUAACUCCGGGAAACCGGGGCUAAUACCGAAUGAUAAAGUGUGGCGCAUGCCAUGCUUUUGAAAGAUGGUUUCGGCUAUCGCUUACAGAUGGGCCCGCGGUGCAUUAGCUAGUUGGUAGGGUAAUGGCC
rnacentral:rRNA from 1 species